rnacentral:lncRNA from 1 species
CGUAGUAACAGAAGCUAGAUAACAGAGGCUUCUGGAGUGAGUAGGCAGUGAGAAAAUGGAGGUGGUAAAAGAGGGGAAAACUAGAACAAAUAGUCAAGUAAAGAUUUUUGUUUUGUUUUAAUGUACUAAAAGUAACCAGUAUAGUGCUUAUGCUUUUUCCUGUUAUUCUUUUGUGGUUUUUCAAUAGAUAUCUCAGAUCUCAGUGAAGAUAUCUUGCUGUCCACGCCUUAAAAUUCUUCGCCUGGAAGAGAAUUGUCUUGAGCUCAGCAUGCUUCCCCAGAGCAUCCUCAGUGAUUCCCAGAUCUGUCUGCUUGCUGUGGAAGGCAAUCUUUUUGAAAUAAAGAAACUUCGAGAACUGGAAGGCUAUGAUAAGUACAUGGAGAGGUUCACAGCCACCAAGAAGAAGUUUGCGUGAAGUUCUCCAGGACUAUGGAAACCUUACAGGAUACUGACUUAGAACCUCUGUUGGAAUGUGGCUGAGUCAAAGCCUCCUGUUGUUGUUAGGGGUAUCUACAGUAAGGAGAUGAUACU